rnacentral:rRNA from 1 species
CCUACGGGGUGCAGCAGUGAGGAAUAUUGGUCAAUGGACGAGAGUCUGAACCAGCCAAGUAGCGUGAAGGAUGACUGCCCUAUGGGUUGUAAACUUCUUUUAUAUGGGAAUAAAACGUUCCACGUGUGGGAUUUUGUAUGUACCAUAUGAAUAAGGAUCGGCUAACUCCGUGCCAGCAGCCGCGGUAAUACGGAGGAUCCGAGCGUUAUCCGGAUUUAUUGGGUUUAAAGGGAGCGUAGGUGGAUUGUUAAGUCAGUUGUGAAAGUUUGCGGCUCAACCGUAAAAUUGCAGUUGAAACUGGCAGUCUUGAGUACAGUAGAGGUGGGCGGAAUUCGUGGUGUAGCGGUGAAAUGCUUAGAUAUCACGAAGAACUCCGAUUGCGAAGGCAGUUCACUGGACUGCAACUGACACUGAGGCUCGAAAGUGUGGGUAUCAAACAGGAUUAGAUACCCCUGUAGUU